CAUUUGCCAAGCGCGUCUUCAUUAAUCAAGAACGAAAGUCAGAGGUUCGAAGGCGAUCAGAUACCGCCCUAGUUCUGACCGUAAACGAUGCCAACUAGCGAUCCGCCGGUGGCUCUUUGGCCCUGGUGGGGAGCUUCCCGGAAACGAAAGUCUUCCGGUUCCGGGGGAAGUAUGGUUGCAAAGCUGAAACUUAAAGGAAUUGACGGAAGGGCACCACCAGGAGUGGAGCCUGCGGCUUAAUUUGACUCAACACGGGAAAACUCACCCGGCCCGGACACCGUGAGGAUUGACAGAUUGAUAGCUUUUUCAUGAUUCGGUGGUUGGUGGUGCAUGGCCGUUCUUAGUUCGUGGAUCGAUUUGUCUGGUUUAUUCCGAUAACGAGCGAGACUCCAGCCUACUAACUAGUGCGGGCAUUGCCUCUGUGCUUUGCACUUCUUAGAGGGAUUGGCUGCGUCUAGCGGCACGAAACGGAGCAAUAACAGGUCUGUGAUGCCCUUAGAUGUCCGGGGCUGCACGCGCGCUACACUGGCAAAAGCAGCGUGCUUGUCCGCCUCCGAAAGGAGCCGGUAAACCCUUGAAAAUUUGCCGUGAUUGGGAUCGGAAAUUGCAAUUAUUUUCCGUGAACGAGGAAUUCCUAGUAAGUGCGAGUCAUCAGCUCGCGUUGAUUACGUCCCUGCCCUUUGUACACACCGCCCGUCGCUGCCUAGAACUGAGCCAUUUCGAGAAUAUUCGGGAUCGCUGGUUGCGGGUCCUUCGGGGCACGCCUCCGGCAAGAGAACGAACGUAAUCGCAGUGGCUUGAACCGGGCAAAAGU
rnacentral:rRNA from 1 species